GUGAUCGCUUCAGCAGUAUGUAUACUAAAAUUGGAAUGAUCCAGAGAUUAGCAUGGCCCGUGCAAGGAUGCCACGCAAAUUCAUGAACGUUAAGCUGCGUAG